rnacentral:misc_RNA from 2 species
CACCAAUCAAGCCUGGCUUGGUAUUGGGCGACGGGGACCUCACAGCCCCCGCGCCUCAAUGACCCCGGCGGGACGGACCGUAUCUCAGCGUUGUGGUAAAAAGCCGCUGGCGAGACGGGACCGGCCGUGCCGUUAAACAACCCCAUUCUAA